rnacentral:lncRNA from 1 species
CUAAGUGUUAUAUAGCGAUAACGAAAUGAAGAACCCCUCAGCGUCAUCACCACUGAAAGGAACGUACAUGGAACCGCUGCAUCGACUGAGGCUCUCAGUGGGAUCUCGUCACAUCUACUUCGCGUUUGGUAUCCUGGCCACGAGCUAAUCCAGUAUAUCAUAGCCGAAACGGUAUUCAAGGUUUACCACCUCAUAUGAGGCGUUGCGAUUACGGCCUUAAUUCUCUGCAACCGGUCUUCUGGUAGAGUUCGUUUCCAACUCAUUUUCUGAUGCAAGACCUUCACGAGGAUGGUUGCUUCGGGGCGUAGACGCGCUUUCCUGCUAUUUGGUGAUUCAUUAACCCAACGCGCGUUUGAGUGCGGAGGCUGGGGUGCUCGUUUGGCCCACCUUUUGUCUCGCAAAGCAGACAUCAUCUGUCGAGGUUUUGGAGCUUACAACACAAGGUGGUGCCGUCAUGUGGUGAGACACAUCGGUUCUUACCGAGAUUACUUCUCUGUUGUCACCGUACUUUUAGGCACGAAUGAUGCGGCACUCCCAGAUGUCGAGCCUGUUCAAGCGGUUCCACUAGACGAGUAUGUUGAAAAUUUGGAUGAUAUUCUGAAAUACCUCCGUAACCGAAGUGAGUUUGUUAUACUUUUCUCUCCUCCAUCAGUAGGGGAACUCGGGCGACUACGAGCCCAACAUCACAAAUAUGUUG